rnacentral:rRNA from 1 species
GCAAGUCGAGGGGUAACAUGAGAGCUUGCUCUUGAUGACGACCGGCGCACGGGUGCGUAACGCGUAUGCAACCUACCCAUCACUGAGGGAUAGCCCGUGGAAACAUGGAUUAAUACCUCAUAAUACUUAUCGGAGGCAUCUCUGAUUUUUUAAAGAUUUAUUGGUGAUGGAUGGGCAUGCGUUAGAUUAGCUAGUUGGUAAGGUAAUGGCUUACCAAGGCUACGAUCUAUAGGGGUUCUGAGAGGAUGAUC